rnacentral:rRNA from 1 species
UAGGGAAUAUUGCGCAAUGAACGAAAGUUUGACGCAGCGACGCCGCGUGAGGGAAGAAGGUUUUCGGAUCGUAAACCUCUGUCAAGAGGGAAGAAGUGUAUGCGCUCUAACAUAGCGUGUACUUGACGGUACCUCUGAAGGAAGCACCGGCUAACUCCGUGCCAGCAGCCGCGGUAAUACGGAGGGUGCGAGCGUUAAUCGGAAUUACUGGGCGUAAAGCGCGCGUAGGCGGAAGCCUAAGUCAGGAGUGAAAUCCCCGGGCUUAACCUGGGAAUAGCUUUUGAUACUGGGUUUCUUGAGUUCAGGAGAGGGUGGCGGAAUUCCAGGUGUAGGAGUGAAAUCCGUAGAGAUCUGGAGGAACAUCAGUGGCGAAGGCGGCCACCUGGACUGAUACUGACGCUGAGGUGCGAAAGCGUGGGUAGCAAACAGG